rnacentral:rRNA from 1 species
GACGAACGCGGCGGCGUGCUUAACACAUGCAAGUCGAACGAAAAGACGGAAAGAGCUUGCUCUUUUCAGAAUUGAGUGGCAAACGGGUGAGUAACACGUAAACAACCUGCCUUCAGGAUGGGGACAACAGACGGAAACGACUGCUAAUACCGAAUAAGUUCCAAGGGCCGCAUGGCCCAUGGAAGAAAAGGUGGCCUCUACCUGUAAGCUAUCGCCUGAAGAGGGGUUUGCGUCUGAUUAGCUGGUUGGAGGGGUAACGGCCCACCAAGGCGACGAUCAGUAGCCGGUCUGAGAGGAUGAACGGCCACACUGGAACUGAGACACGGUCCAGACUCCUACGGGAGGCAGCAGUGGGGAAUCUUCCGCAAUGGGCGAAAGCCUGACGGAGCAACGCCGCGUGAGUGAUGACGGCCUUCGGGUUGUAAAACUCUGUGAUCCGGGACGAAAAGGCAGAGUGCGAAGAACAAACUGCAUUGACGGUACCGGAAAAGC